rnacentral:rRNA from 1 species
GAUGAACGCUGGCGUCGUGCCUAAUACAUGCAAGUCGAGCGAACAGACGAGGAGCUUGCUCCUCUGACGUUAGCGGCGGACGGGUGAGUAACACGUGGAUAACCUACCUAUAAGACUGGGAUAACUUCGGGAAACCGGAGCUAAUACCGGAUAAUAUAUUGAACCGCAUGGCUCAAUAGUGAAAGACGGUUUUGCUGUCACUUAUAGAUGGAUCCGCGCCGCAUUAGCUAGUUGGUAAGGUAACGGCUUACCAAGGCAACGAUGCGUAGCCGACCUGAGAGGGUGAUCGGCCACACUGGAACUGAGACACGGUCCAGACUCCUACGGGAGGCAGCAGUAGGGAAUCUUCCGCAAUGGGCGAAAGCCUGACGGAGCAACGCCGCGUGAGUGAUGAAGGUCUUCGGAUCGUAAAACUCUGUUAUUAGGGAAGAACAAAUGUGUAAGUAACUAUGCACGUCUUGACGGUACCUAAUCAGAAAGCCACGGCUAACUACGUG